CUUCCUGACCCAGGGAUUGAACCGAUGUCUCUUGCAUUGCAGGCAGAUUCUUUACCAUCUGAGCCACCAGGGA
rnacentral:tRNA from 1 species